rnacentral:lncRNA from 1 species
AAAUAGGGACCUUCAAACCUAUUAAACCUAUAAAGAAUAUUUUUCAUUCAAUUGCAUUACUUCUUUGAGAUAAAAUUCUGUCUCAAUCUAAUUUUGGGUUUUAUCUUAUGAAGAACAAGUGGCGAUCCUCCUUGGCAUAUAUCUUGGAUCCUUUCAAGUGGCAUGCCUUGCAAUUCAUAAGUUUCCUCUCCUUUCUCUCUUACAUUUUUAGACUUUUAAUUCCAUUUCUUAAUUUCUCUUGUUUAGUUCUUAGACUUAUUUCUAUCUAGGCAUGUUUUUCUAUAUCACUAUCUUACCCUUAGGCAACUUCAUCAAGUCGUAAGUGUGAUUAUUAUGUAGAGAUUUCAUAUCAUUUUGCGUUGCAUCCAAUCAUUUUGGCUUUUCUUCACUCUCAAUGGCCUCUUCAUAACAUUCAGGUUCUCCCCC